ensembl:lncRNA
AUGUGGCCACUUCAGUGUGCUGUCAUCAACAUUGAUGAAGUGAAAAACAGUCCUUUUGUUGUUGCUCUGUUUUCUGGAGCAAAGAAACCAAAUGAUUUGGAGUUUUUGAGGGAUUUUAUGGAGGAGCUGCAAGAACUGAUGGAAACAGGCUUUAAAGGGAAGAGAAUUGUCCUCAAAAACAUCAUAUGUGAUGCACCAGCACGAGCCCUCAUCAAAGGAAUAGUUCAGUUUAAUGGCCGCUAUGGCUGUGACUUUUGUGAUGUAAAGGGAGUUCAUGAGAGCAAAAUGCUUUUUUUGUAUAAAGGAAAUCUCAGAACCAAUGAGUCAUUUAGACAGAAGACAAAUCCUGAACAUCACAAAACAGAUAGCAUUCUUUUGAAUCUGGACAUUGAUAUGAUCAGGCAGUUCCCAAUAGAUCCCAUGCAUUGUGACGAUCUAGGAGUGACUAAGCGAAUGUUGAUGCUGUGGAAAGAAGGACCUUUGGCCCAUAGAUUAUCAGCUGGACAUUUUAGCACCAUUACUUAUUUUCAUCAAGCUGUCCGACAUCACAUACCUCCUGAAUUCAAUAGGAAACCCAGGGGGUUAGAUGAACUGAAGCACUGGAAAGCAACUGAAUUCCGAACAUUUUUGCUUUAUACUGGACCAGUGAUUUUGAAAUAUGUUCUCGAUAAGGAGAAGUAUAUUCACUUCCUUUCACUUAGUAUUGGAAUGCGCAUCUUGUACAGUGAAAACCUAAUGGAGCAUCGUGAUUAUGCAGAUGCAUGUUAUCCUGAUUUUGAUCCAAAGACUAUGAAUAAUGUGUGUGUGUGUGUGUGUGUGUGUGUGUGUGUGUGUGCGUGUGCGUGCGUCUUUCAGUAUCGAAUUUGUUUAUUCGGUGAUGGACAGACAUCUGUUGUACCAAUCAGUUGGAUUUUUGAUGACAAUGGAACAUUGAAGUGUCGAUGGACAUCAUCACUCUCAAACAUUAAAAACAAUUCUCCACCAAACCCUAACUGGAAGGUUUAUGACAUUGUGAAGAUCGUUGGACCAUCAAUUGGAGACUAUGAUCAAGCAAAUCAAUACAUCUCAGAUUACACAACGGGGGUCUCAGCAGCAGAGGACUCAAUUACUUAUUCAAUGACAGACCCUGCAGUUGUGGAAUUACCUGAGAAGAGAAAAAGGAAAAAUAAGCUCUGUGAUGAAAGUGACAUCAAUUCAGAGACAUCUUCCUGUGAAGAUGAUAUGAACUUGAAGCAGUCAGGAAAUGAAGUGAAGCAAUCUGGUCUGAAGUCAAGAAAUGUCCCACUGCCCAAACCUCCUAUAUACCAUGAUACUCUUCAGAGAAGUGGGAAAAAAGAUGAGGAUGAUCCCAAGCCCACAAGCUCUGAUGUCUCAGAAUUUCAUGAUCUUCAACAACAUCACAUGACUUAUAAAGAAAUUACAGUGCAAACCAGGAUACCAGAUGAUGUGCAUUUAAAGAAGUCAAGAAAUGCAAUGAAGCGAGUUGGUCUGAAGACAAAGAAUGUUCAGCUGGCCAAAACUCCCAGAUACCAUGUAGUCAAGAGUCCACUUAUUCAGAAAGCUCUGUGUGUCAAAACAUCUGGUGAGUAUGAAACACUUUUUCUCUUAAAUUGA